CCUGUUCCUGUAUUGAUGGCAGGAUUGAGAACACCAGCAUAUCUCUUAUCCAAGGAAAAUUAUGAUCGGACCAGAACUUACUUUGUCUUUGAUUUUUCUCCAGGGUAGCUGACCCACCAUGAACUCAACAAGCAUAUAAAAUAAAGACCACAGGUCAUCAUGUCGACCCAUUUCCUUUAAAAAGAAGAAGAAGAAGAAGAAGGAUGUGCAUUUUAGUAAAAUAUGAGAAGCCCACAGAGUGGAUGCUCUCGAUGGCCUCUAAGAUUUGUCUGCCCAGCCUGAGCGAGGUGGAAAAGCUGAAGGUGCCACAGCUCAUGUUGCGUCGAAGGUCUGCCAAGUUUUUUCCCUGCAGUUCAAUGGACAAGCAUAUGAGUUGUGUGAUAACGUCCAUUAAUUCAGAAACAUGAAUAAAUCAUUUGAUGCCUCACCUGAAGCUCCAUAACCACAUAGUUGAAGCGGUCAUUGCGCCCACAGCCAACAAAACGACAAACAUGGUCUUUUCCUAUGAAAUGGGUCAAGGUAAAAAUGGUAUACAGUAUGUUAUACAAAUCCAUAUUUAUUUUUAAGUAAUAUUUCACUUUUAUUUAGUUAUGUAUGAUUGCCCAUUAUAGAGUAGCACACACAGUGUAAAGUGACUCCUCAAAUAGUGUUUUCAUGCUUGUUUUAUAUACAUUAAAUAAAAAAUCUAAAA